GGGGGGUCACUGUCGCUGUGUGUGGUCUAGUCUAAUGGGGAGCGGUGCUGGUUGUACAGUCUGAUAUGGCAGGGAGGAAGGGCCUGCAAUAUUGCUCCUUUGGAUGGGUGAAAGUCAUUCCCCAUCAGAGAUGACGGUUAACUCAUCAUUCCCCUCUCUCCCACCAAGGUGUUGAGGGCGAUGCAUUUCCUUUUCCACAAUACACCAGCGAGGAGGGAUGAGUUCAUUGCCCUCCCCAAAUCCUUGGUCUUCCCAUUUCCAUUCUGUGGCCAUCGGUGGAUUGAGAACUUGCCAGUUGUGGAAAGGGCCAUAGUACAAAUAAUAAUGAAACUUUAUUAAUAUAGCACUUAUCAAAACAUAGUUACAGGGUGCUGCACAAUAUAUGAUAGAAUAAUGCACACAUACAUGAUGAAAUAUUAAAGGUAUGGCCUUCACUGAUGAAGUAUGUGGAUGCAGUGAGGACAAAGAAGGUUCCAAACCCUGGAACAGCCUCAUUUGACACCAUAGAAGCAGCCCAGCAAGAUCCACUCAUCUUGCCUAAGCUACAGUUCUUCAUGGCUAUCUAUAAAUAUAUAUAUAUAUAAAUAUAUACUACUUACUUUGCAUUGGUGCAGUAAAUCAUGAGCUGUUGCGUGUCCCAUGAAUUGCGAGCCCAAGUAACGUGAAUGCACUUGAUCUCCGUGCACGUCGAGCUGCUUAUUUUUAGUGGCGUGGUUCAAAGUCUCGUCGAACAUUAAAACAAAAAAAGACUUGUUGACGCUGCAUAUUAGCUCGCUUCUGAUGAAAGGCGCUAGUCCAAAAGGAGUUACAUAGGCAUUCUUGUCCUUUCCUGAAGUAAACAUGCUAUCUCGAGGACCUUCAUUCCCAUUCUGACAAAGUAUCAGACUGACGCACCAGUCAUGCCAUUCCUUUGCAAAGACUUGGCGGAGUUGUUUAAGGUAAUCAAAUUAAUAAUGAAUCAAAACAAGUUGAGCGUGUGUGGGCAUUUGUCGCUGACCAGAAGAUCUGGGUCAACCUGAAGGAAGCUGACAUAGGCUUGGGUGCAGAGGCAGCCCUGAAGGUAAUUUAGAUGUAUUACUUAUUACUUACUUUCUAUCAAAUGAUGCUCCAUAUCCAGGCAGGAGAGAAUGCUGUGUUAGGCCAUUCAGCUGUAUUUACAACACAUUACCCAUCUGUCAGGACUUCCAGAGAAAGAAGAGGGUAGGAGAGCUCACUGCCCUAGAGUUUAGGAAGGACUGCGUGAAGGGUAUGUCAAAUAUCCUAAAGAAAGUCCAGGACAAGAGCCCCCUGAAGUACCCCAUUAUGAGACAGGUGGCAUGCCUCGACCCCACAGUCAUGUACUCUGCCCCAGACUGGUGGCCGGGAAGAAUGAGAAGUAAGGUGCAGAAGUUUCUGCAAGACCAGCAGUUGUCCGGAGGUGUCUCUGCUGCUGUUUUGUUAGAGGUGAAGUGAUUAUCCAACAGUUUGGGAACUUCCUGUCUGUCAAGGCUAAAGGCGAGCACUUCCUGUCCUUCCGGCCCAUAGAAACCAGGCUUGAUGUGUUUCUUCAUGGCUUCCUCAGCCAACCCUACCCUGAGCUUUGGGGUUUCUGUCAGAAUCUUCUACUCUCAUCCCAUGGGUAGGCAACGGUCGAGAGAGGCUUCUCCAUUAACAAGGAGGUGGAGACUGUUAACCUUCAGGAGGACACUGUCAUUGCCCAGAGACUGGUCUGUGACUAUGUUGCAGUUUGUGGGGGGGUUGCCAAUGUCCCUCUCACCAAGGUGCUGCUGACCUUGAUGGGAUCAGCAAGGUCAAAAUACAGAGAACACCUUGACCUGGAGGAGAGGAAGAGCCAAAGCGCUGCACAAGGGCAGAAGAGGAAAGCUUUCAGAAGACCACAUCACUGAGCUUAAAAAGAAAAAGCAAACUCUCCUGGAGGUAUGUGGCUCUCUGGAGAAGGAUGCAGACGUGUUUGCUGAGCAAGCUGAGGGUAAGUCCGGCACCUUGAUGGCUCAGCUCAUCACAAAGUCAAACGUCCUCAGGAAGAGAUACAAAGAUUAAUUGAGUGAGCUGAAAAAUAUAGAGGCAGAACUGGAGAUUAAGGCCACAGAACUGAGGUUCACCUGAGGCUCAUCUGUGUUCAGUAGGUCCAAUAGUUUUUUUUGUUAGAUGUUUCCAGUUGCACUUGUGAUUCUGUGAACCACAGAGCACACUACUGUUUGACUAAAUGUACUAUAUUCUUUUGUAUAUUUUGUAUUUUUGUAUAUUUUUUUGUAUACUUGGUCGGAAACAUGCAGUUAAACUGCACUUGUAUAUACAGCUAUUGAACCAGAGACCACUGAGUAUCACUUUAUGUUCAAUAAACAGACAAAAAGUAAA